CCAGGCUGCUGUGAUACCCUGUGGCUUCUCUGAUAUCUAACAGUGCAAGUCAGCUCACCUACCUGUGCUUCUGGGGGAGGGCACACGGGGUACUUGGCCGCUGCCUUCGUGACACAGGGCCAAGAGUUGGACUCAACGAUCCUUUUGGGUCCCUUCCACCUCAGCUUGUUCUGUGAUUCUGUGAUUAGCUUCCAGCAAGCCUCAGCUCAAGUUUUCUUCAUCUCACCUGGAUGCUGACCACGUCCAGACACCUGUAAAGGGCGGUGGUACCUGAUGGAGGUAAUGGCCACUUUUCCUGGGAAGAAAGAAGGUGGAAGAGACCCAUACCCAGGAG